CCUACGGGAGGCAGCAGUGAGGAAUAUUGGUCAAUGGGCGCUAGCCUGAACCAGCCAAGUAGCGUGAAGGAUGACUGCCCUAUGGGUUGUAAACUUCUUUUAUAUGGGAAUAAAGUGCAGUAUGUAUACUGCUUUGCAUGUACCUUAUGAAUAAGGAUCGGCUAACUCCGUGCCAGCAGCCGCGGUAAUACGGAGGUUCCGAGCGUUAUCCGGAUUUAUUGGGUUAAAAGGGUGCGUAGGCGGACGCUUAAGUCAGCGGUAAAAUUGCGGGGCUCAACCUCGUCGAGCCGUUGAAACUGGGUGCCUUGAGUGGGCGAGAAGUACGCGGAAUGCGUGGUGUAGCGGUGAAAUGCAUAGAUAUCACGCAGAACUCCGAUUGCGAAGGCAGCGUACCGGAGCGCAACUGACGCUGAAGCACGAAGGCGUGGGUAUCGAACAGGAUUAGAUACCCGGGUAGUC
rnacentral:rRNA from 1 species